UGGGGAAUCUUAGACAAUGGGCGCAAGCCUGAUCUAGCCAUGCCGCGUGUGUGAUGAAGGUCUUAGGAUCGUAAAGCACUUUCGCCAGGGAUGAUAAUGACAGUACCUGGUAAAGAAACCCCGGCUAACUCCGUGCCAGCAGCCGCGGUAAUACGGAGGGGGUUAGCGUUGUUCGGAAUUACUGGGCGUAAAGCGUACGUAGGCGGAUCAGAAAGUAUAGGGUGAAAUCCCGAGGCUCAACCUCGGAACUGCCUUGUAAACUCCUGGUCUUGAGUUCGAGAGAGGUGAGUGGAAUUCCAAGUGUAGAGGUGAAAUUCGUAGAUAUUUGGAGGAACACCAGUGGCGAAGGCGGCUCACUGGCUCGAUACUGACGCUGAGGUACGAAAGUGUGGGGAGCAAACAGGAUUAGAUACCCUGGUAGUCCACACCGUAAACGAUGAAUGCCAGUCGUCGGGCAGUAUACUGUUCGGUGACACACCUAACGGAUUAAGCAUUCCGCCUGGGGAGUACGGUCGCAAGAUUAAA
rnacentral:rRNA from 1 species